UUCUCACAGCUUCCUCUCUACCUCCUCCAUCUAUCUCCCUCUCAACAUCAAGGAAUUCACAGGAUUUGUAAAAUCCUAUUUCCACAUCAUUCUUUCUCAACUAAGAGGAGACGUCAGAUAGAGUAGAAGUAGAUCAACUUAUUUCCUCAAGGAUUCAUUUUGGUGGAUUGACGGUUAGAUUAUCUUAUCAAUUUGUAAUCAUCGUUUGCUUAUCGGGAUGGGCGGCAUUGGAAAUAUUACGUUUAUCAAGUUAGAUGACAAACAUUGGUACGAAAAAGAAAUGCCUCGUGGAGGACAUACAAGACGCAGAACUUCAUCUUCCAUUGACACUCCACUCGAUGCUGAAUUAUUAGCGGAUGCUGCUGAGGAACCAAAUAAUAUCGAAGGAGAACAAGAUAUAGUUGGUAGUCAUCCGCUAGAUGAAUAUGGCCGGAAGUAUAUACACCUCGAGUGUGGAUUACAGGUUUAGCCAAGACGUAGGGAGCAAUCAGCCAAACCUCGAUAUGCUUGAAGAUAUUGAAGUUGAACAACUAGGGCUCAAGGGCAUAAAAAAGCGUAAACACGUAGUGAGGUCGGAUAUAUGGAAAGAAUUUGAUAGAGUGAUUGAAGAUUCAAUUCAAAAAGGAAAAUGUAAAAGGUGUAAAAAGUUGAUAGCAGCUGAUCCGAAGAACAAUGGCACAUCCGCGAUGUGAAAAAAUCAAACACCACUGCCAAGAAGAAUUGCGGCAAGACAUCUAAGAAUGGGGUAGAUACGCUUUAUGCAGGAUGAUUAUUCUUGAUGAACAACCAUUCAGAUGCGUGGAACAUGAGGGAUUUCGUUUAUUCUGCUGUGAUAUGUUACUAAACUUUAAGAUCCCAAGCAAAUACACGAUAAGAUCUAAAUGUGUGAAGAUGUUUCUAAAGGAGAGGGAACUAUUGAAAGUGGUUUUCUCCGGACCAGGCAUGGGUAUAGUAUCAAUUACCACCGACUGUUGGACUGGAGUCAAUAACACAAGCUUUAUUUGUGUUACAUCACAUUUCAUCCACAAGGAUUGGAGGCUGCACAAGAAAAUAAUCAGCUUCUUUGACAUUACUAGUCAUCUUCUUUGACAUUACUAGUCAUAAGUGGGAUGAUAUUGCUAAGGUGUUGGAUAAAGGCUCUUACAAAGGCAUAUAAAGGCUUUUUUGCUGCAUCAUGGGCAAUGCUAAAAACAAUGUAGCAAUCAAGGAAAUGAAGUCCACCUUCAAUGCGAGAGGUAUGCUUGUUGCCAAUGGGCAAUAUUUUCAUCAGAGGUGUGUUGCACACGUACUUAACUUGGUUGUCGAAGACAACAUGAAACAAAUAGAUAUGGUUGUUGUACGAGUUAGAGAAGCCGUGAAAUGGAUAAAGGGUUCAUGGUCUAAGGCCUUCAAGGAUAUUGUUAAUGUAUGUAAGGUUGAUACCAACAAAUUCUUGUGUCAAGAUCUACCUACUAGAUAGAACUCGACUUACUUAAUGCUCGAGGUGGCAUUGCUAUAUGAGCCGGCUAUGAAGCGGUUUAGCAACGUCACUCCCCAGUUUGGUAGGGAUUUUGGAUUUGAGAAACCUGAAACACAACGACCUUUGGCAUACCUGGAGAAGAAGAUUGGAUUGAAUUGAGGAAGAUGUGUAGUUUCCUAUGAUAUGACUCGUCUCGUCUCUGGCACCAUGUAUGCCACAUCACAUUCAUUUUUUAUGGAGAUGUGUGACUUAUUCAUUAUCAUAAAAAGGCUGGAGAAUGCUGAAGAUGCUGAGGUUAGAUACAUGGCCUGGAAGAUUAUGGAAAAGCUUGGUAAGUAUUGGUUAGAGAAGUAUGAGCUUAAUCCAAAAAAAAAAUAAAAAAUAAAAAAUAAAAAAAAAAUAAAAAAAAAAUAAAUAAAAAGUAUGAGCUUAAUCCAAACUUGAAUAAAUUUAUGCUACAUUGCUGCAAUGCUUGAUCCUAGACAAAAGAUGAAGCAUGUGCAGUAUUGUUUGAAGACGCUGUAUGGUGACGCACAGGCAAAUGAGUUGGUAGAGGAGUUGAGAAAGUCAAUCUUUGACUUAUUUGAGUUGUACAAGAGAGAAUUCACUCUAAUAGCUGACCAAACACAACUACGAACAACUUCAGCUAGCCAAGUGUCGAAUAGAUCGAGUGAUCUAUGAUUUCUUGGUAAAAGUUCUUGGCACAUUCCCUGUGUUGCUAGUGAGGAUGAUGACGAUAAAGAUGGUAGCUCAGAGCUCACUCGUUACUUCACAGAGAAGCAAUACAAGGCUAGUGAACAUGAACAUUUUGACAUUCUUAUGUGGUGGAAGACGUACAGUAUUUCCUUUCCUAUUCUAUUAGAGAUGACUAAAGAUAUCCUUGCUAUUCCUAUAUCAAGCGUUGCUUCUAAGUCGACAUUCAGCAUGGGGGGCGUGUGCUGUCGAUAUUUAGAAACUCUUUGGCACCGGAAAUGGUAGAAGCUUUGAUAUGCUCCGAGUAUUGGUUGAGGGCUAGUUCUAGUUCUGUCGAUCUCAUGGAAGAAGGAGAACCAAUACCAUUUUUGAGAAAACAAUACUAUGAAACGGUGGAGACACUACAUAAGGAUGGCAAAGUGACAUGGUCAUUGUACGAUGCUGAUACAGACGCAUAAUUGGAAAGAACUUAUUCAAGUGAUGAUGAUCAAAGUUAAAUUUAUCUUGCAUUUAUUUUGGAAUUUUGAAAUAUUGAACUUGGAGGUUUUCUUAUGAAUAUUUGAACUUUGAAUGGAAGUUGAAUUGAGUAGGUUGUAAACUUUGAUGGAUUGACCUUGUUGUUUUGGAAUCUUUGAACCUGAAGUUGUAUACUUUUUUGAAUAUUUCAAUUUUGGAUUGAAAAGGUUAUAAGCUUUGUUUUUGAA